UUACUCCUACGGGAGGCAGCAGUUAGGAAUCUUCCACAAUGGGCGAAAGCCUGAUGGAGCGACGCCGCAUAAAAGAUGAAGGCCUUAGGGUCGUAAACCUCUAAAAGAGGGACGAUAAUGACGGUACCUCUUGAAAAGCACCGGCUAACUCCGUGCCAGCAGCCGCGGUAAUAA
rnacentral:rRNA from 1 species